rnacentral:rRNA from 1 species
GACGGGGGGGCAAGUGUUCUUCGGAAUGACUGGGCGUAAAGGGCACGUAGGCGGUGAAUCGGGUUGAAAGUGAAAGUCGCCAAAAAGUGGCGGAAUGCUCUCGAAACCAAUUCACUUGAGUGAGACAGAGGAGAGUGGAAUUUCGUGUGUAGGGGUGAAAUCCGUAAAUAUACGAAGGAACGCCAAAAGCGAAGGCAGCUCUCUGGGUCCCUACCGGAGGCUGGGGUGCGAAAGCAUGGGGAGCGAACAGG